rnacentral:rRNA from 1 species
GAUGAACGCUGGCGGUAUGCUUAACACAUGCAAGUCGUACGAAGAUCUUUGAUCUUAGUGGCGGACGGGUGAGUAACACGUGAGAAUCUGCCCUUAGGAAGAGGAUAACAGCUGGAAACGGUUGCUAAUACUCUAUACGCCGAGAGGUAAAAGGAUUUAUCCACCUUAGGAAGAGCUCGCGUCUGAUUAGCUUGUUGGUAAGGUAACGGCUUACCAAGGCGACGAUCAGUAGCUGGUUUGAGAGGACGACCAGCCACACUGGGACUGAGACACGGCCCAGACUCCUACGGGAGGCAGCAGUGGGGAAUUUUCCGCAAUGGGCGAAAGCCUGACGGAGCAAUACCGCGUGAGGGAUGAAAGCCUGUGGGUUGUAAACCUCUUUUCUCAAGGAAGAAAUUCUGACGGUACUUGAGGAAUAAGCAUCGGCUAACUCUGUGC